rnacentral:misc_RNA from 1 species
UUAAGUUCAGCGCGUAUUCCUACCUGAUCCGAGGUCAACCUUAGAAGUUUCCUAGCUAAAGGAGAGGACCGGGUCCUGGGUGCCCUUGUCCGAUACGUGCUCAGUUAAAAGCUCAGUGUACCGGGGGAACCACAGGCCGCCGUCAUUGUCUUUAGGAGGGGUCGAUCGCUCGACCAGCCGUCCAACACCAAGCACAGGGC